CAGUAGCCGCGGGAACACGGAGGAUCCAAGCGUUAUCCGGAAUCAUUGGGUUUAAAGGGUCCGUAGGCGGUCUUGUAAGUCAGUGGUGAAAGCACAUCGCUCAACGGUGGAACGGCCAUUGAUACUGCAGGACUUGAAUUAUUGGGAAGUAACUAGAAUAUGUAGUGUAGCGGUGAAAUGCUUAGAGAUUACAUGGAAUACCAAUUGCGAAGGCAGGUUACUACCAAUUGAUUGACGCUGAUGGACGAAAGCGUGGGUAGCGAACAGGAUUAGAUACCCCUGUAGUCCCGUCUCUUAUACA
rnacentral:rRNA from 1 species